rnacentral:rRNA from 1 species
AUUGAACGCUGGCGGCAGGCUUAACACAUGCAAGUCGAGCGAGCGGCGGACGGGUGAGUAAUGUCUGGGAAACUGCCUGAUGGAGGGGGAUAACUACUGGAAACGGUAGCUAAUACCGCAUACCAUCAGAUGUGCCCAGAUGGGAUUAGCUAGUAGGUGGGGUAAUGGCUCAACAAGCCGACGAUCUCUAGCUGGUCUGAGAGGAUGACCGGCAACACUGGGACUGAGACACGGCCCAGACUCAUACGUGAGGCAGCAGUGGGGAAUAUUGCGCAAGGGGGGCAACCCUGCUGCAGCCAUGCUGAGUGAAGGAAGAAGGCCUGCGGGUUGUAAAGUUCUUUCGGUAGCGAUGCGUUAACUACAGAAGAAGCACCGGCUAACUCCGUGCCAGCAGCCGCGGUAAUUC